rnacentral:rRNA from 1 species
CAGUCGCCACGGGAAUACGUAGGGUGCAAGCGUUAAUCGGAAUUACUGGGCGCAAAGCGUGCGCAGGCGGUUCGUUAAGACAGAUGUGAAAUCCCCGGGCUUAACCUGGGAACGGCAUUUGUGACUGGCGGGCUAGAGUAUGGCAGAGGGGGGUAGAAUUCCACGUGUAGCAGUGAAAUGCGUAGAGAUGUGGAGGAAUACCGAUGGCGAAGGCAGCCCCCUGGGCCAAUACUGACGCCCAUGCACGAAAGCGUGGGGAGCAAACAGGAUUAGAUACCCGCGUAGUCCCUGUCUCUUAUAC